GGGCCCGCACAAGCGGUGGAGUAUGUGGUUUAAUUCGAUGCAACGCGAAGAACCUUACCAGGGUUUGACAUCCUGCGAAUCUCUUGGAAACAGGAGAGUGCCUUCGGGAACGCAGUGACAGGUGGUGCAUGGCUGUCGUCAGCUCGUGUCGUGAGAUGUUGGGUUAAGUCCCGCAACGAGCGCAACCCACGUCUUUAGUUGCCAGCAUUUAGUUGGGCACUCUAGAGAGACUGCCGGUGAUAAACCCGGAGGAAGGUGUGGAUACGUCAAGUCAUCAUGCCCCCAUUACAUCCUGGGCUACACACGUACUACAAUGCUACGGACAAAGGGCUGCAAGUUCGCGAGGACAAG
rnacentral:rRNA from 1 species